CCAGUCACCUCACCAUGGACUCUCACCACCAAAACCUGGAUAAGAGCUGCAGGCACGCCAAGACACCAAAACGCCACCCAGCAGAGCCAGAGCUGCGUCUCCAUGAAAGACCCAGAGCUCAACGCCUCCGCUGCCAAAAAGAGCGGAGAGAGCCAGAGCACAAAGCCCCUUUGACAGUGGAGAGGUGGCUGGUGGCAGUUUGCUGAGCAUGUCGGCAUCUUGGUGUGGCAGUUGCUAUUGUCCAGAUUUAGCGCUGUCUUCUUUUCAGCCUUUUGCAGCUGAGGCUGUUUCUGUAUGAUGCCAAACAACUGAAUAAAAGCGAAAAAUUAAUUGAAUCA
rnacentral:lncRNA from 1 species